rnacentral:lncRNA from 1 species
CAUGUGGGGGAAGCCAGAGAAUAGCCAAUAACCCAGCAGGCUGUUCUUUGAGAACUGCAGAUUUACUCAGAUAAUGGUUAAGGUCAGGUAUGCCUCACUCCUGAUCCAUUCUUACAGAUGGACAAAAACAGGUUUUGCUAAGAGCCCUCGCAGUCAGCAGGGGGUGAAGAUAACCAUCUGUCUCUAACAGAGCUUCCUAGAGCUCUCCAGGCAAAAAAAAAACCCUGAAGGGUCUUACCCAGAGAGGCUGUGGGAAUGUUGUUAAUUUUCCAUGAGAAGCAUACAGUGCACUUCUUAUGCAUCAUGCCAACUCCUGUCAUAAUUUAAUAGAGGCUCCAACAGCCGGUUCAUAUAAAACCAUCAACAAUAGUACACCAACGUGAUCUUAUGCUGCUAAUGUGUAUUAAUACCUUCUAUAUUUUCUCUUGCAGUAAAGCCAGACCCACCUCAAUGUCAGUAUGCAAGCACAAAUGGAACAGUGACCUGGACAUAUCCCAGAACCUGGAGCACACCAAAGUCCUACUUCCCUUUGACUUUCAGGGUCAAAGUUGAAAGCAUGAAGAAAUACAGAAGCAAGGUUUAUGAUGCUGAUGAGCAGUCUAUUCAGAUUCCAAAGACUGGGCCAAAAGACAAGAUCUUUGUGCAGGCCAGGGAUCGCUAUUACAACUCAUCCUGGAGUGAGUGGUCUACACUUUGCAGAUAAACACCAACAGAUUGGUGUAAUGCUCCUCAAGAAAGCAAAGGAUGGAUUAAGACAAGAAAAUAUGCUAAUUAGAAGAAAAAUCUGCAUGUGAGAUUAUUAAGAAGCUACGCCUUAAUCUUUUUUUCUAUAGUAGAAUAGUAUGAUCCUGAUUCUGACAGAUCUUUUAAAUUCCCCAGGUUUGAGUAACACCACUAGCACACAUCAUGUUAUAUUAACAUGUAUGGUAUUUUGAUACAUUCCUGUCAGCUAUUAUUGUUGGUUCCAUGU